UACGUAGGGUGCAAGCGUUGUCCGGAAUUAUUGGGCGUAAAGAGCUCGUAGGCGGUUUGUCGCGUCUGCUGCGAAAACCCGAGGCUCAACCUCGGGCCGCAGUGGGUACGGGCAGACUAGAGUGGCGGUAGGGAGAUUGGAAUUCCUGGUGGUAAGCGGUGGAAUGCGCAGAUAUCAGGAGGAACACCAAUGGCGAAGGCAGAUCUCUGGGCCUGCACUGACGCUCAUGCACGAAAGCGUGGGGAGCAA
rnacentral:rRNA from 1 species